rnacentral:tRNA from 1 species
UCCGUUGUGCUAUAGUGGUUAGGAUUUAUGGAUCUCACCCAUAAGGCCGGGGUUCGAUUUCCCGCAACGGAA